rnacentral:lncRNA from 1 species
GUCUGUGCCCUGCCCCCAGAGGUGGAGCCUACAGAGGCAGGCAGGUCUCCUUGAGCUGUGGUGGGCUCCACCCAGUUUGAGCUUCCUGGCUGCUUUGUUUACCUAAGCAAGCCUGGGCAAUGGCGGGCACCCCUCUCCCAGCCUCGCUGCCGCCUUGCAGUUUGAUCUCAGACUGCUGUGCUAGCAAUCAGCGAGACUCCGUGGGCGUAGCACCCUCCGAGCCAGGUGCGGGAUAUAAUCUCGUGGUGCACUGUUUUUUAAACCCGUUGGAAAAGCGCAGUAUUCGGGUGGGAGUGACCCGAUUUCCCAGGUGCCGUCCGUCACCCCUUUCUUUGCCUCAGAAAGGGAACUCCCUGACGCCUUGCGCUUCCCAAGUGAGGCAAUGCCUCGCCCUGCUUCGGCUGCCGCACGGUGCACGCACCCACUGACCUGCGCCCACUGUCUGGCACUCCUUAGUGAGAUGAACCCGGUACCUCAGAUGGAAAUGCAGAAAUCACCCGUCUUCUGCGUCGCUCACGCUGAGCUGUAGACCGGAGCUGUUCCU